UAAGGAUUCAGAUCUGAUUUGGCUUCCAAGCUGGUCUCGGAUUCAUUGGAUAAUCUGAGUUCCCUUUUCUAGAAUUGGACAAGACCUACCUCCUAUGCUUGUAGGGAAGGUUAAGUGAGUACCUCCCUGCGUGGUUGAAAGUGUUAUAGGCACGCUGGCUAGUACUAUUUGUAGAAUCACCCCCUAUUCUCUCUGCCUGGGACAUUCUAAGUAGCACAAGCUUGCCAAAGCGAAUUAAAACAAACAUUGCUUCACUCAAAGUGAAGCUGUAGCCAGAGAAUCUUUUGAAGAGAAUCAUAAGAAAAUGCUCUCUGGAAAGAAAGUGGAGUUUUCCAAAGUCCACAUGACACGUGAUGUUGCAAAAGACUGAAUGCAGAAGCAGAUAUGAAAUCCAGACAUCUUCUCUUAAGAUGAAAAACUGAUGCCCAAAGAUGUUCAUCAACUUACCCAAGAGAAAGUAAGAAGCUAGAAGUAAGAGCUGGGGACUGGCUCAGGCCAUCCUGUGGGCCUGCAUUUCGAGCUCUCUUUCACCUCAAAUGCUGCAGAAGAUGAGGAAGUGGGUAACUGGG